GAGUUUGAUUCUGGCUCAGGACGAACGCUGGCGGCGUGCUUAACACAUGCAAGUCGAACGAUGAAGCCUAGCUUGCUGGGUGGAUUAGUGGCGAACGGGUGAGUAACACGUGAGUAACCUGCCCCUUACUCUGGGAUAAGCGCUGGAAACGGCGUCUAAUACUGGAUAUUACCUUUCAUCGCAUGGUGUUUGGUGGAAAGAUUUUUCGGUUUGGGAUGGACUCGCGGCCUAUCAGCUUGAUGGUGAGGUAGUGGCUCACCAUGGCGACGACGGGUAGCCGGCCUGAGAGGGUGACCGGCCACACUGGGACUGAGACACGGCCCAGACUCCUACGGGAGGCAGCAGUGGGGAAUAUUGCACAAUGGGCGCAAGCCUGAUGCAGCAACGCCGCGUGAGGGAUGACGGCCUUCGGGUUGUAAACCUCUUUUAGUAGGAAAGAAAGCGUAAAGGGACGGACCUACAGAAAAA
rnacentral:rRNA from 1 species